rnacentral:rRNA from 1 species
ACGAACGCUGGCGGCGUGCUUAACCCAUGCAAGUCGAACGGAAAGGCCCUGCUUUUGUGGGGUGCUCGAGUGGCGAACGGGUGAGUAACACGUGAGUAACCUGCCCUUGACUUUGGGAUAACUUCAGGAAACUGGGGCUAAUACCGGAUAGGAGCUCCUGCUGCAUGGUGGGGGUUGGAAAGUUUCGGCGGUUGGGGAUGGACUCGCGGCUUAUCAGCUUGUUGGUUGGGUAGUGGCUUACCAAGGCUUUGACGGGAAGCCGGCCUGAGAGGGUGACCGGCCACAUUGGGACUGAGAUACGGCCCAGACUCCUACGGGAGGCAGCAGUGGGGAAUAUUGCACAAUGGGCGGAAGCCUGAUGCAGCAACGCCGCGUGCGGGAUGACGGCCUUCGGGUUGUAAACCGCUUUCGCCUGUGACGAAGCGUGAGUGACGGUAAUGGGUAAAGAAGCACCGGCUAACUACGUG